rnacentral:rRNA from 1 species
GGGUUGUGAGGUUAAGCGACUAAGCGUACACGGUGGAUGCCACGGCAGUCAGAGGCGAUGAAGGACGUGCUAAUCUGCGAAAAGCGUCGGUAAGGUGAUAUGAACCGUUAUAACCGGCGAUGUCCGAAUGGGGAAACCCAGUGCAAUUCGUUGCACUAUCGUUAACUGAAUACAUAGGUUAACGAGGCGAACCGGGGGAACUGAAACAUCUAAGUACCCCGAGGAAAAGAAAUCAACCGAGAUUCCCCCAGUAGCGGCGAGCGAACGGGGAGCAGCCCAGAGUCUGAAUCAGCUUGUGUGUUAGUGGAACGGUCUGGAAAGUCCGACGGUACAGGGUGAUAGUCCCGUACACCAAAAUGCACAGGUUGUGAACUCGAAGAGUAGGGCGGGACACGUGGUAUCCUGUCUGAAUAUGGGGGGACCAUCCUCCAAGGCUAAAUACUCCUGACUGACCGAUAGUGAACCAGUACCGUGAGGGAAAGGCGAAAAGAACCCCGGCGAGGGGAGUGAAAAGAACCUGAAACCGUGUACGUACAAGCAGUGGGAGCACCUUCGGGUGUGACUGCGUACCUUUUGUAUAAUGGGUCAGCGACUUAUAUUCUGUAGCAAGGUUAACCGUAUAGGGGAGCCGCAGGGAAACCGAGUCUUAACUGGGCGUUAAGUUGCAGGGUAUAGACCCGAAACCCGGUGAUCUAGCCAUGGGCAGGUUGAAGGUUGGGUAACACUAACUGGAGGACCGAACCGACUAAUGUUGAAAAAUUAGCGGAUGACUUGUGGCUGGGGGUGAAAGGCCAAUCAAACCGGGAGAUAGCUGGUUCUCCCCGAAAGCUAUUUAGGUAGCGCCUCGUGAACUCAUCUUCGGGGGUAGAGCACUGUUUCGGCUAGGGGGUCAUCCCGACUUACCAACCCGAUGCAAACUACGAAUACCGAAGAAUGUUAUCACGGGAGACACACGGCGGGUGCUAACGUCCGUCGUGAAGAGGGAAACAACCCAGACCGCCAGCUAAGGUCCCAAAGUCAUGGUUAAGUGGGAAACGAUGUGGGAAGGCACAGACAGCCAGGAUGUUGGCUUAGAAGCAGCCAUCAUUUAAAGAAAGCGUAAUAGCUCACUGGUCGAGUCGGCCUGCGCGGAAGAUGUAACGGGGCUAAACCAUGCACCGAAGCUGCGGCAGCGACACUAUGUGUUGUUGGGUAGGGGAGCGUUCUGUAAGCCUGCGAAGGUGACCUGUGAGGGUUGCUGGAGGUAUCAGAAGUGCGAAUGCUGACAUAAGUAACGAUAAAGCGGGUGAAAAGCCCGCUCGCCGGAAGACCAAGGGUUCCUGUCCAACGUUAAUCGGGGCAGGGUGAGUCGACCCUAAGGCGAGGCCGAAAGGCGUAGUCGAUGGGAAACAGGUUAAUAUUCCUGUACUUGGUGUUACUGCGAAGGGGACGGAGAAGGCUAUGUUAGCCGGGCGACGGUUGUCCCGGUUUAAGCAUGUAGGCUGAUUGUCCGAGCAAAUCCGGAUAAUCAAGGCUGAGGUGUGAUGACGAGGCACUACGGUGCUGAAGUAACAAAUGCCCUGCUUCCAGGAAAAGCCUCUAAGCAUCAGGUAACAUCAAAUCGUACCCCAAACCGACACAGGUGGUCAGGUAGAGAAUACCAAGGCGCUUGAGAGAACUCGGGUGAAGGAACUAGGCAAAAUGGUGCCGUAACUUCGGGAGAAGGCACGCUGGUGUGUAGGUGAAGCCCCUGCGGGUGGAGCUGAGACCAGUCGAAGAUACCAGCUGGCUGCAACUGUUUAUUAAAACACAGCACUGUGCAAACACGAAAGUGGACGUAUACGGUGUGACGCCUGCCCGGUGCCGGAAGGUUAAUUGAUGGGGUUAUCCGUAAGGAGAAGCUCUUGAUCGAAGCCCCGGUAAACGGCGGCCGUAACUAUAACGGUCCUAAGGUAGCGAAAUUCCUUGUCGGGUAAGUUCCGACCUGCACGAAUGGCGUAAUGAUGGCGGGCUGUCUCCACCCGAGACUCAGUGAAAUUGAACUCGCUGUGAAGAUGCAGUGUACCCGCGGCAAGACGGAAAGACCCCGUGAACCUUUACUAUAGCUUGACACUGAACAUUGAGCCUUGAUGUGUAGGAUAGGUGGGAGGCUUUGAAGCGUGGACGCCAGUCUGCGUGGAGCCAACCUUGAAAUACCACCCUUUAAUGUUUGAUGUUCUAACGUUGGCCCCUGACCGGGGUUGCGGACAGUGUCUGGUGGGUAGUUUGACUGGGGCGGUCUCCUCCCAAAGCGUAACGGAGGAGCACGAAGGUUAGCUAAUCUGGUCGGACAUCAGGAGGUUAGUGCAAUGGCAUAAGCUAGCUUGACUGCGAGCGUGACGGCGCGAGCAGGUGCGAAAGCAGGUCAUAGUGAUCCGGUGGUUCUGAAUGGAAGGGCCAUCGCUCAACGGAUAAAAGGUACUCCGGGGAUAACAGGCUGAUACCGCCCAAGAGUUCAUAUCGACGGCGGUGUUUGGCACCUCGAUGUCGGCUCAUCACAUCCUGGGGCUGAAGUAGGUCCCAAGGGUAUGGCUGUUCGCCAUUUAAAGUGGUACGCGAGCUGGGUUUAGAACGUCGUGAGACAGUUCGGUCCCUAUCUGCCGUGGGCGCUGGAGAAUUGAGGGGGGCUGCUCCUAGUACGAGAGGACCGGAGUGGACGCAUCACUGGUGUUCGGGUUGUCAUGCCAAUGGCACUGCCCGGUAGCUAAAUGCGGAAGAGAUAAGUGCUGAAAGCAUCUAAGCACGAAACUUGCCCCGAGAUGAGUUCUCCCUGAGACUUUAAGUCUCCUGAAGGAACGUUGAAGACGACGACGUUGAUAGGCCGGGUGUGUAAGCGCAGCGAUGCGUUGAGCUAACCGGUACUAAUGAACCGUGAGGCUUAACCUUACAACGCCGAAG